rnacentral:rRNA from 1 species
UACUAGAGUAGCACUCGCAUAUCAAUAAGCGGAGGAAAAGAAACUAACAAGGAUUCCCCUAGUAACGGCGAGUGAAGCGGGAAGAGCUCAAAUUUGAAAUCUUAAAGGGUUUCCCUUUACGAAUUGUAGUUUAAAGAAGUGUUUUCUGUUGAGGUUUUGGUAAAAGUUCUUUGGAAUAGGACAUCAUAGAGGGUGAGAAUCCCGUAUUUGACCUUUACUUUCAACUUUGUGAUACACUUUCAAAGAGUCGGAUUGUUUGGGAAUGCAGUCCAAAAUGGGUGGUAAAUUUCAUCUAAAGCUAAAUAUUGGCGAGAGACCGAUAGCGAACAAGUACCGUGAGGGAAAGAUGAAAAGAACUUUGAAAAGAGAGUUAAACAGUACGUGAAAUUGUCAAAAGGGAAGCGUUUGACACCAGUGUUGUUUUUCUGAAAAUCAAUUAAAGAACUGUUUAUGCUAAGUUGUUUAGACUUUAUCAGCUAUCUGCUUAGUUUUGAGCUUUUCUUUAAUGCACUUUUCAGUUAACAAGUCAACAUCAAUUUCUUUUGCUGUAAAAAAGCUUGAGGAAGGUGGCUUGAGAUUCGUCUUAAGUGUUUAUAGCCUCUUGCCUAUGCAGUCGGAGAGAUUGAGGUCUGCAGCGUAGAUCCUUCGGGGCUAAAUGCAUUUGUGCUAAGUUAUAGCAUUUUAUAGACAACUUGUUGACUAUGAUUUGUCUUGUAGCUUACUCGCUUAUGUUAUUUUACCUACGCUUAGGAUGUUGAGCGCAUGUCUCUCUCU